AAGUCUGAAACUGCCCUGAAGACCACACUGUCUCUUGACUUCAACGAUGAGAUCCUCAGUUGAUUCGGGCGCUCCAUUAGAGAGUGAGCCUUCGACAGGUUCCGUCAGCCAAGACAGUCUUUAGGACCAUAGGACUCUAACUAGUGAUGGGUCCUGCAACACUAGCGCACCGACGCAUGUAUCAAGCUCACCUAGCGAUGCCUGUAUCGGUGCGUGCGUCGCUUUAAGAAAAAG